rnacentral:ncRNA from 1 species
ACCGCACGGCUGAAAAGGGAAUCAGGUGAGAAUCCUGAACAGAACCCGCUGCUGUAAGUUCCAACGGUCGGUUGGCAAAGCAAGCCACUGUGGCAUCUGUUGUCAUGGGAAGGCGGCCAACCGAGGGGACAAGUCAGAAGACCUGCCAUGUUAUGCU